rnacentral:lncRNA from 1 species
UAGCAGCCUCCUAAAUGCUUGCUGAAUGACUGUUUUGUGGGUUAACUGUAAGAACCUUUAAAAAUGGAAGUUGUUAUUUCAACAGCCAUCUGAAAAUACAAUAAAAUGUGAGGGCAGGGAGUUCCUGCUGUGGCUUAGUGGGUUAAGAACCCAACACGGUGUCUGUGAGGAUGCAGGUUUUGUCCCCGGUCAGUCGGUGGGUUAAGGAUCCAAUGUUGCUGCAAGAUGCAGCAUAGGUUGCAGGUGCAGCUCUAAUUCAACCUCUGGCCCUGGAGUAGGUGCAGCAGUAAAAAGAAAAAAAAAAAAAAAAGAAAAGAGAAAAAGAGAUGUGUGGGCAGGUGCUGAGCUCCCCUCACUAAGUUCACUAGAGCAGCUGGGGGGAGACCUCGCUUGGGGUCUAGCUCCCCUCUGAGGGUGGUGCUGCUCAGAGAUUUGGCUUCAAAGCUCAAUAGAGUUCAAAUCCCAGCUUAGCUAGUUGUUAGCGCUGAGGUUUUAAGUUCCUCCCUCUCCCUGAUAUUUGGUCCCCUCACCUCAAAAGCUGCAAUAACAGUGCUAUAAUGGACAAGGAGAUGACUUACCGAGUUCAGUGAUGUAACAGACAAGUAAUUUACUGAGCCUCUUACAUGAAAUGACUUUUUUUCCCUUCUAUUUCUGUCUCGUUGGACCCAGUCAGAUCCACCACCUUACCCAUUUGAUAAUGAUCAGUUCAGCACAUGCCAAACAUCCUAUUCAACUUGUUUAUUUAUUUAUUUCUCUUUAGGGCCAUACCCAGGGCAUAUGGAAGUUCCCAGACUCAGAGAUAAAUUGGGGCUCUAGCUGCUGGCCUAUGCCACAGCCACAGCAAUACCAGAUCUGAGCCACAUCUGUGACCUAAACAGCAGCUCAGGCAACGCAUGAUCCUAAGCCACUGAGUAGGGCCAGAGAUUGAACCCGCAUCCUCAUGGACAUUAGUCGGGUUUAUUGCUGCUGAGCCACAGUGGGAACUCCUACAUUGUGUUCAUUCAAAGACUGGUUCGAUUUAUUUUUUGCUUUUUUGGGGGUUGGGGGGCAGCAUAUGGAAGUUCCUAAGUUAGGGGGCGAAUUGGAGCUAGAGCUGCCGGCCUAUGCUACAGUCACAGCAACGAGGGAUCCGAGCCGAAUCUGUGAACUACACCACCGCUCACAGCAACACCAGAUACUUAACCUACUGAGCAAGGCCAGGGAUGGAACCUGCAUCCUCAUAGAUAAUAGUCAGGUUCAUUACUGCUGAGCCACGAAAGUAACUCCAAAGUCCAGUCCAAUUUAAACCUCCUUUCUUCCUUCCUCUUAGUGUGGGUUGGACCGAUGGUUCAAGCAACAGGAUCAGAAGUGGGCAGCGGCUUGGACUGCUUGUUGGCCCCCCUCGUCCCUGCACCUCAGAGUGAGGCCCACCUUCCUCCAUCUCUGAUUCUAGGCCUCUCUUUCCUCCUCUGAUGUCUAGUGUCCAAGGUGGGCGGCUGAUGUGUGACCCAUCUGACCUCCUGGGUGCAGAGGGGAGGUGUCCUUUGUCUCCCAGAGGGUCAGUGACUUUCCACAACAUGCUGGUGAUCUCUAUGGAUGUGGUGGUUUCUGGUUUUUUGUUUUGUUUUGUUUUGUGCUUUUUAGGGCCGCACCCAUGGCAUAUGGAGGUUCUCAGCCUAGAGGUCAAAUCAGAGCUAUAGCCGCUGGCCUAUGCCACAGCCACAGCAACGCAGGAUCUGAGCCAUGCUUGUGACCCACACCACAUCUCACAGCAAUGCCAGAUUCUUGACCCACUGAAUGGGGCCAGGGAUCGAACCUGCCACCUCAUGGUUACUAGUCGGAUUCAUUUCCGCUGCGCCACAAUGGGAACUCCUCUGGUUUUUGUUUUUUCUCUUAAAUGUAAUUGGAGUGUAGUCGACUUGCAGUGUUGCAGUCUUUGUUUCAGUGGUGCACCUGCUUUCCUUAGGGUGGCAUUUACUUGUCUUAACAACGGAGCUCUGCAGACCACCCAGACAGUGGCAGCCCUGCCAGGAGUCCGUGAGAGCCCUUCUCCUCUCUUACGAGCUUCAGCUCCUUCUGGAAACCUCCAGGCUCCUUCACAGGGAACUGCAGGAACCUGAUUACCCUGUCCUCUGGGUCCUCAGGCACCGACCACACGCCAGCUCCCCAUUGACUGUAGGGGAGGAAAAUUUUUUCCUCAGCUCUUUUAAGGUCCCUGGCUGGGUCUGAAAAUGAAACUGGUAGAUUAAGGAGAAAAGCACACACAUGUAUUUAAUAGAAGUUUUACAGGACACGCAAGCCUUCCAAAGGAAAUAAAGACCUGAGGAAAUGAUUAAGCCUACAUCUUUUCAUGCUAGGUUUGGUGAAGAGCGGACAGUCGCGGAGGAGUGUGGGAGAGCAAGAGUAUGUGGUCAGUGUAGGAAACUGGAGGAAACUCAGCAGGGCCUGUGCAUAUGGAUUCUUCUCCACCUUCCUUUGUCUUCAGAGAAAGGGAUGCUCCUUUCUUCCAGGUCCAGGCAAGCCCGGGCUAGGUCAGCAGCACACAGCUGAACUGCAGCAGGCACUUACCACCUCGCUCCUCUGGCUGUCCUCCCUGGCUGCCUUAGCACUAGUCUCCAUGUUCACAUUCACCCCCAGACUCCGAGAACCCAGGCUGAGGGCACCCACACUGGCUCACCACACUCAUGCCCACACACACCGGACCUGCAGGCUCUGCCACUCAGCAAAUGUCCACCUGAGAGUGGCCUGUCAGUCUUGGCUUCUUGCAGGACCCUCCGCACUGCAGGAGAGAUUCUUCCGGAGUCCUCCCACCGCCUACCCUUUAACUGGCCUCUGGGGUGCGUGACACGCGGGAGAUGGAGGGAGGAAAACUCUCGCGGGAACACUGCUCCUUAACGAGGUCCGAGGUCUGCGCGACCGGCCUCUCUCCCUCUUUCAAACCGGAAGGGGAAAGUGGGACUGGCCGGGCCUGGCUGGACCGGUCUGCGCCUUCCCGUUCGCCCCGGGGGAGCCCACCUCUGCUGGCGGCCUCAUCAGAAUAGGAAGAAAGUAGCACCUUCAGACGCUGCUCUGGACCUUAGGCGCCCGUCAGAAGGGAAAGGACGAGUUCCCUCAUCAUCCUGUUAUGCGGAGAACUGUUUAUCACAGCAAAGAGUAAGUCCUCCCCUCAAUUUAGCUGUUAGCUGCUUGGCCCGCCUCAGACGGCCUUCUCCUUGGCCCCUUGCCCACAUGCCCCGGUCUCCUGAGCCUCCUCCAGAUUCUCAGACCUUCCUCUGGGGCCUCUUCCUCUCCCCCUAGCCAGCGCCUCUUUGUCGUGUAGGGCUCAGCUGGAAGGUGGCAUCCUCAGGGAACCUUCCUGAGCAUCCCCGCGUGGAGGCACUCCCACUAGGGAGCCCCGCAGCACCGGUCUGGCCUGUUAGAAGGCUUUUUCUUACAGGCUUAUUUUUCAGCUCUGCCACUAGCAUGAGCUAGUGCUGGCGGCUGGUACUGAAGCACUCAAUACCUAUUUGUUGAAUGAAAAAAGAUGAGCUGUUCUUUUUCUUUUUCUUCUUUUUUUUUUUUUUUUUGGUCUUUUUAGGACUGCACCGGUGGCAUAUGGAAGUUCCCAGGCUAGGGGUCAAAUCAGAGCUGUAGCUGUCAGGUUUCGUUACUGCUGAGCCAGGAUGGCAACUCCUAGCUGUUCUUUUUAAAGGCAAUUUGUUGCUGAAGCUCCCGUAUCCUGGAGGAUUGGGAAGCCUGGAGCUCUCGGAGCCCUCUCCUCUUCCCUCUAAAGAGGCCAAGAAACCCCUGAGCAGUGGGCACAGACUCCCGCUCGCCCAGGGCAAACCUGGUUCUGCCUUUCUGCAAUGCUCCCUCCAGUGCUCUCCAGCAGCAGAUUUGAUGAGGCCUAGGGGAGCUAUGUGGAAAGAGGAAGAAAAAGAAAGCGACUCAAACCCAACUCUGUGAAGCUAAAAAGUCACCAGGGCCCAUUUCUCUCCUGAGGUCCACGGCCCCCCUCCUCCAUGUCUGUGUUAAUGGGGCAGUUACUAAUGUUCCAUCUGAGAGCAACAGAGAUGGUUAAGGGCUGAAGACCAAGUCUCUGGCCAUUAACCAGCUAACAAGUGAGACAGUGCAUGCGCCAGCCCUUGGACGGCUGUCAAACACUGCCGGACUGUGCAGCAGAGCAGAUCCUCCUCUCAAAUCCCUUUCUCUACCACCCUCUGGUCAUGUGACCUUCGCUAAGCUAAACUCUCAGGCCCUGAUUAGCAAACAGGGAUUUAUUCAGUCCACAAGUCUCUGCUGAACACCUACUUUGUGCCAGGGCCAGGGAUUGCCUUCUGUCCUCUUUCCAGUGGUUUUAAGGAGAAGGAAUACUAACUCAAAUGCUUCCAGGGCCUAACCAGGUAAUGGAAAUUAAAAGGCACAGGGAACACCUGGUCUAAAGGAACAGCAGAUGCUAAACUCCAGUUGGUUGUUGCCAUGAACUUCCAAAUUUGAAAUUUGAAAAUCUGUGUUUUGUGUGAAGUCUUAUAAUUUUUAAAUGUUGGCAACAAAUUUAAGAUUUUAAGGAUGUCCAUGCAGGUCAAACACAUGGGCUAUAUUUGGCUUGCCAGAGGGUAGCUGGUGACCCCGGGAAAGGCUAUGAGAUAAUUGAUGUGAUGGAUCCAGCUUAGAGUCUCUUGCCUUAGCUUAGCUUUUAGCAGUAUAACUGUGAUUUAUAACACAUACUCUAGUCGAAAUGUUAAUGUGAACCACAAGACAUCUGUAGAGGAUAGAGAGAUCAUUUUCCUGGAAAAGAAGGCAGGCUUCCUGGAAGAGGUGGCAUGGGCUGGAAGACCAGGAAGCCUUGUGAAACCCAUUACUCCUCAGCCACGUGAUCACUCAGAGCAUUUCAUCAACUCCCUAAUCUGAGAGGUAAUCAGAAAUGUCCCCUGAUACUCUGUGUUUGACUGGGAAGACUCAACAUCAUGAAAAUGAUAAUUUUCCCUAGGUUAAUAUAUAAAACCUUGGUAGUCCCAAUACAGUAUCUUCAGAUUUUUCCUACAGUUAAAUGAGUUGAUUAUAAAGUUUAUUUGGAAGAACAACAAAUGAUAGGGAAAUCCUGAAAAGAAGAACAAAGAAUUGGGGUUAGCCCUACCAGACACUAAAACAUGCAAUGAAGCCUUUAUAAUUAAAAUGAAACAGAAGAGAAAAGUAGGGAAAUACCUAUUCAUAUGCAAAUUUAAUAUGCCAUAAAGACAGCUCAAAUCAGAGGAAAAAUGGACUUUUAAAUUAUCUUCAUGUCAUUGGAGAGCCAUGCACAGAAAGAUAAAAUUGGAUCCAUUCCUGUCUUACAUCAGGAUAAAUCCCAAAUGGAUCAGAAAUGUAAUGUAGUAAAGGAAACCAUAUAAGCACUGGAAGAAAACAUUGUUGAUAUCCUCUAUAGCCUGGGAAUGGGAAAACUGUUCCUGUGACUCAAAAUCCAUAAGCAACAGAGAAAAUACAGCUAGAUUGAUUACAUUCAAAAAAAAUUUUUGCAUGACAAAUGUUAUAAGCAAAGUGAAAAGAUAAAUAGCAAACUGAAAAUAAUAUUUACAACUUACAUCUCAGAGUUUAUGUAUCUAAUCUAUAAAAGAAGUUAUAAAAUUAGAGAAGGAAAAACCAAUAAGCCUAUAGAAAAAUAGGCUAGUGAAUUGUAGCACUGGUCCACGGAGCAAGAAGUGCAAGUAUCUUUUGAAAAAAUGCUUAAAUUUGCUCUUAAUAAAAGAAAUGUAAAUCAAAACCAUACUGAGGUAUAAUUUCUCACCUUUUCAUUUGGAAAAAUAAAAGUUUGACAAAUUCUCUUUUGGUGAAUCUCUGGAGAAACAGGAUCUCUAGCUUUGCUGGUGGAAAUGCAUAUUGUACAAUCCCUGUAGAGGAGAACUUGACAAUAUCUGGAAAACUUACAUAUUUACCUUUGAGCCAGCAAUUUCAAAUCUAAAAAUAUAACUCAAAAAUACAUUAGCAAAAUAUGAAGACAUAUAUAUAUAUACACACACACAGGUUAUUCAUUAAGAACUGUUUGUAGAAGUUCCUGUUGUGGUUCAGUGGUUAACAAAUCCGAAUAGGAACCAUGAGGUUGUGGGUUCGAUCCCUGGCCUUGCUCAGUGGGUUAAGUAUCCGGCAUUGUCGUGAGCUGUGGUGUAGGUCACAGACGAGGCUCGGAACCAUGCGUUGCCGUGGCUCUGGUGCAGGUUGGCGGCUACAGCUCCAUAUGCCACCGGUGUGGGUCUAGAAAAGGCAAAAAGACCAAAAAAAAAAAAAAAAAAAAAGAACUGUUUGUAGUAGUGAAAGAUUGGAAAUAACCCAAAUAUCCAUCCGAGGAAAACUGGUUAGAUAAAUUAUAGUGAUAGGGCAACCAACCAACCCAAUUUGGGACACCUGGAACCUUCAGUGCUAACACCAGGAGAGUCCUGCACAAACCAGGACAUAUUAGUCACUUAGAAUUGAGGACUGUGCAACUAUAAUGAAAGAAUGAGCAAUACCUCUUUAUACCAGUAUGGAAUGAUUAUCAGAAUACAUAGU